AUCCACACAGGCUCCUAGCCCCCGGCAACCAUAGCAGGGCUGACCUCGCUGCCCUCCAGCCCAGCCCUGUGUGCUGCAGCCACCAGCCCGUUCUCCUCGGCUCUCCAGGGGCUGGCAGUGGGCUCGGUGGCAGUGCCAGAGGCUGUCUCCUGUGGGAGACAGGGCUGCAGGAUCCCCUGGGUGCUCCCAGUUGCUCUCAGCAGGGAUAACAGCCAGCUCCAGCUCUCGGUGAUGCUUGGGCUCCUCCGCUCCCACUGCAGCGCUCGCUUCUGCUGCUCUUUGCUUCAUUCUGGACUUCAGCAGCCCCCAGAGCUGUUCUGUGUAAUUAGCAGAUCCUCCCCCUCUCCCUCCCCUUCCUCCCCUCCUCCUCCUCCUCCCCUGCUCAGCCGCCCAUCCCAGCACCCAGCUCUUGCCUUCAUCCCUGCCAGGCGAAGGGGAGGGCAGGGAACCCAGGUCUCUGUCCUGGAACAGAGAAGGGAAGGAGGGGAGGGUGGAAGGCAGAGGGAGAAGCUCACUCUUGCCUUCAUAAUGUUCCCAAAGUCCUGCCCCCUUAAAGAGAACCUGGUCCCUUCUCUCGGUGCUCGCUCCUCUCAAGGACACCCACUGCUAACUGCAAAUGUCACCCUGCCUGCCUGCCCUGCAGCAUUCCCAGAGGGAUGCGGAAUCCCGGCCACGCUGUGUCCAGGGAUGGCACAAAGAUGCCAGCAGGUACUUCGGGAAGUACUUUGGAGUGUGAGCUCGACCCUUCUUAGCCAUGAGAGAAGCCACAGGAACCCGCAGCCAGGGGAAAGCCUGGCAGAUGGCAUCGCAGGCGAGCGUGCAUCGAGUGUGCCAGGGCUCUGCUCCCCCCAGCACCCUGCAGCCUCAGCCCCAGCUCUGCCAGCAGGAAAACCUCUCCAUUCCCACAGCUCCGAGGAGCAGAUGCCAUGGCAGAGCUGGUUUUCAUGGGCAAUUUCUCUCCCUCUCUCCCGCUCCUCCUCCUUCCCCAUCCCUCCCUCUCCCUGCAGCUCUCCCAGUCCCUGUCCCUCAUUCAUCCCCAGUGUGGAACUGCCCACUGUGGGCUCACCAUUACAUGUACUGCAACAAAUCCCAGAAAAUCCCUGUUGCAGGCUGGGAGAUGUCCCCUUCCUGCCCCCAAUCCCUUCCCGGAGCAGAGGCGGUGUCCCUGCCCCAGGCUGGCCUUCUGCCCGCCCCUGUCACCUGCCUGUCCCCUCCCGCCCGCCCCGCUGGCCGGGGGAUCAUUGCACAGUGGAAAGACAUGGGAGUAUUGACUUGCAGUCAAAUCUUAUCGGCCUCUGGAGGCCCCUGGAUUGGUUUCACUCCUAGCAGGGCUUGAAAAAAAACCAUAAAUAAAUAAAUAAAUAAAUAAUAAAAUCGAUCCAUGUCUGCAAAGGUGAAGGCAGGAUGUGGCUGUCACAUCCUAUCUGGGGAGGAUCC
rnacentral:lncRNA from 1 species